CCGCCGGCGACCGGCGCACGGGUGAGUAACACGUAUGCAACCUGGCCGUGACAGAUGGAUAACCGGGAGAAAUCCCGCCUAAUACAACAUAAUGCCGGGAGGGGACAUCCCCUGCCGGUCAAAGGGGGCGACCCCGGUCGUGGAUGGGCAUGCGGCGCAUUAGGUAGUUGGUGGGGCAACGGCCCACCAAGCCGACGAUGCGUAGGGGUUCUGAGAGGAAGGUCCCCCACAUUGGAACUGAGACACGGUCCAAACUCCUACGGGAGGCAGCAG
rnacentral:rRNA from 1 species